rnacentral:rRNA from 1 species
GGUAGAGCACUGUUAUGGCUAGGGGGACAUGGCGUCUUACCAAACCAUGGCAAACUCCGAAUACUUGGAAGUCAGAGCACGGGAGACAGAGCACCGGGUGCUAACGUCCGGACUCAAAAGGGAAACAACCCAGACCGCCGGCUAAGGUCCCUAAUAUCAGGCUAAGUGGAAAACGAAGUGGGAAGGCUAAGACAGUCAGGAAGUUGGCUUAGAAGCAGCCAUCCUUCAAAGAAAGCGUAAUAGCUCACUGAUCGAGUC